UACGUAGGGGGCGAGCGUUGUCCGGAUUUAUUGGGCGUAAAGAGCGUGUAGGCGGCCAGGUAGGUCUGCUGUGAAAACUCGAGGCUCAACCUCGAGACGUCGGCGGAAACCAUCUGGCUAGAGUCCGGAAGAGGAGAGUGGAAUUCCUGGUGUAGCGGUGAAAUGCGCAGAUAUCAGGAAGAACACCCGUGGCGAAGGCGGCUCUCUGGGCCGUCCCUGACACUGAGGCGCGAAGGCGUGGGGGAGCGAAACGGGGAUUAGAAAACCCC
rnacentral:rRNA from 1 species